rnacentral:misc_RNA from 1 species
AAGGAGCAUCUGGCACCCUCGGGUGUCCAGGCGCCGGAUCUGAGCGAACGUCUCAGCCGGUUAGCUCAUGGGUGGAACAUUGACAUUGGUGCGGAGCCGAACGGCUCGAGCUCAGUACGCCUCUUCGGAGGAAGGAAACGCUCGGACUGGGAAGCCCCGCACAUGCACGCUGUUGGGUCCUGAGGGACCGGACCUCAUCGGAAAAGAUGAGAACCGAAUCCUCUGGACCUUUUCUAGUCGGCAUCAAUAGCCGGCGGAGAAGGUACCGCCCGUACUUUGAGAACUACACAGUGGACGCGAGCAUCUUAGAUUUGAACCUUCGGGUUCAGAUCACAAAGAUGAUCUGAUUUAUUAGAUCAUUGGUCAAUCUGCGUCAAAAUCUGCUUCGGCAGAUGAGACGUCGAUCGAUUCUAAAACUCAUGUGAUUUCAAGUUUCUAAGAGCAAACGGUGGAUGCCUUGGCAUCUGGAGCCGAAGAAGGACGUAGUAAUCUGCGAUAAGCCUCGGGGAGUUGAUAAACGAACUUUGAUCCGAGGAUUUCCGAAUGGGGAAACCCCGCUGGGCCCUUUGGGUGACCCAGUGACUCCC